rnacentral:rRNA from 1 species
UACGUAGGGGCCGAGCGUUGUCCGGAGUUAUUGGGCGUAAAGCGCGCGCAGGCGGCCUCGCGCGCCCGACGUGAAAGCCCCCGGCUUAACCGGGGAGGGUCGUUGGGGACGGCGGGGCUUGAGGGCGGGAGAGGUCGGUGGAAUUCCCGGUGUAGUGGUGAAAUGCGUAGAGAUCGGGAGGAACACCUGUGGCGAAGGCGGCCGACUGGGCCGACCCUGACGCUGAGGCGCGAAGGCGUGGGGAGCGAAUGGG